rnacentral:rRNA from 1 species
UUGAACGCUGGCGGAAUGCUUUACACAUGCAAGUCGAACGGUAACAGGCCGCAAGGUGCUGACGAGUGGCGAACGGGUGAGUAAUGCAUCGGAACGUGCCCAGUCGUGGGGGAUAACGCAGCGAAAGCUGUGCUAAUACCGCAUACGAUCUAAGGAUGAAAGCGGGGGACCGAAAGGCCUCGCGCGAUUGGAGCGGCCGAUGUCAGAUUAGCUAGUUGGUGGGGUAAAGGCCUACCAAGGCGACGAUCCGUAGCUGGUCUGAGAGGAUGAUCAGCCACACUGGGACUGAGACACGGCCCAGACUCCUACGGGAGGCAGCAGUGGGGAAUUUUGGACAAUGGGCGCAAGCCUGAUCCAGCCAUGCCGCGUGAGUGAAGAAGGCCUUCGGGUUGUAAAGCUCUUUCAGACGGAAAGAAAUCGGGCGCGUGAAUAGCGUGCCUGGAUGACGGUACUGUCAGAAGAAGCACCGGCUAACUACGU